AGCUUUGCGCAGUGGCAGUAUCAUAGCCAAUGAGGUUUAUCCGAGGUGCGAUUAUUGCUAAUUUAAAACUUUUCCCAAUACCCCACCGUGGCGACUUGCAAUAGAGUCGGCACUGGCAAUUUUGGACAGUCUCUACGGAGA
ensembl:snRNA U4 U4 spliceosomal RNA